rnacentral:rRNA from 1 species
GAUGAACGCUGGCGGCGUGCCUAAUACAUGCAAGUCGAGCGAACAGAUGAGGAGCUUGCUCCUCUGACGUUAGCGGCGGACGGGUGAGUAACACGUGGAUAACCUACCUAUAAGACUGGGAUAACUUCGGGAAACCGGAGCUAAUACCGGAUAAUAUAUUGAACCGCAUGGUUCAAUAGUGAAAGACGGUUUUGCUGUCACUUAUAGAUGGAUCCGCGCCGUAUUAGCUAGUUGGUAAGGUAACGGCUUACCAAGGCAACGAUGCGUAGCCGACCUGAGAGGGUGAUCGGCGACACUGGAACUGAGACACGGUCCAGAAUCCUACGAGAGGCAGCAGUAGGGAAUCUUCCGCAAUGGGCGAAAGCAUGACGGAGCAACGCCGCGUGAGUGAUGAAGGUCUUCGGAUCGUAAAACUCUGUUAUUAGGGAAGAACAAAUGUGUAAGUAACUAUGCACGUCUUGACGGUACCUAAUCAGAAAGCCACGGCUAACUACGUG